rnacentral:lncRNA from 1 species
UAAUAUUUAAUUAACAUUUAUUAUAAUUAAUAAUGUGGUGCAUUUAUCACUUCAAUUAUAACCAGCGUUUACAAACUAGACUGGACCGAUUGGUCAAACUGGUCAAACUAUCGAUCGGUGACCUUUCUGGUUCAGUUCCCUCUUUUAGGCUGGCUAUCAAUUGGAUAGAUGCUGAACCGCUUAAGCCGAGAGUUGAAUUGUCGAAUCGUUGAAUUGUUGAACCGCUUGGGACCAACGGUUUUUGGAGAACCAAACGGUUCAACACCCCUAGUUUUUUUUUUUUUUGACUAAGUAGGCCACUUGCUCACGACCCAACAUUAAUUGCCUACAUUUUUUUUAUUUUGACAAAAUGGGCUAUAUUCUCUCCACGACCCAACAUUAAAUGUCAACAACCACUUGGCUUGACCACCUA